rnacentral:rRNA from 1 species
ACCGGAGGGUGCGAUCGUUGUUCGGAAUUACUGGGCGUAAAGCGCGUGCAGGUGGUCUCUUAAGUUCCGUGUGAAAGCCCACGGCUCAACCGUGGAACGGCGCGGGAUACUGGGAGACUUGAGUACGGGAGAAGAGGGCGGAAUUCCCAGUGUAGAGGUGAAAUUCGUAGAUAUUGGGAGGAACACCGGUGGCGAAAGCGGCUCUCUAGACCGAUACUGACGCUCAUACGCGAGAGCGUGGGUAGAAAACAGG